AGUGAGAGAAAGGGGUAGAGAGAACCUAGAGAGAGGAGAAAUAAUGAACCGCUGGAAGACUCAUCGAAAACUACCAUCGGAGUCUAUUCCGGUGAAGAUCAUGAUGCAAGUUAGUGAAGAUCAUGAUGCAAGGAGCCUUUCUUGGAAGGGAAAAGAGAAUAUGGGUGGCCGAAGUCCCAUUUUUCAUCAAGAAAUUGGAAAACCCGCAAGGAACAACUCUACGCAUGAUCUAUGAAGAAGUUUGGCCGAGACCUCAACCCGAAGGUGGAGAUCCGAGAGUCGUCCGAGAACGAUGAGCGAAAUUCCGACCUUCUUAACUCAUCCGGUAGUUAAGCAAAAAUUACGAAAAAAUACGAGGACGUAGCCCGUAACAUGAUCUAAAACUUUGCCGAAUGAAUCAUGUCGAUCCGAUCUACGGAUCGAAAGAUAUGAAAAUUGGAAAAGAGGGUUGUGUUUGGGUUUUCAGAGGGCAGAGAAGAAAGAAGAAAAAAAAAAAAAAAAAAAGGAGUCGGCCGGCGAGCGGCGGACGGCGGCGACAGGCGCCGGACACGCGUCAACCAUCGGCUGGAGCAAUGCAGCUCCAGCGAGACAUCGACACGUGUUGCCUACAAGUCGGGCCAAACCGCGACGCGAGUCGAGCCAACCGGACCGGCCGACCCGCGACUAUGCGGAGGCGGGCGCACAUGCAGCCUGCGACUAGCGCCUUCCCGCGCGCGUGACCACGCACUCCUAGCACGCUGCUGGCACGUGAGCGCGCUGGGACGGCCAAUUUGGCCCAGUUGCUUUCUGUUUGCCCGAUUUUUGUCCCGGUUCCAGUUCUAAUACUGUUUUUACGUGAAUAGGGACCUAAUUUAAAGAAAUCAGUAUUUUUGGAUACCUCACGAGCAAAGAGACGCUAGCAGAAAGAGCACGCGUCAACCAAGUGUUCGCUGGCUGCUGGUCGAGGUAGAGGAGCGUUUGAGAGCUGUACAGUCACAGAGGGGGUCGUUCCGGAGCGUCUGUCCCUUGUCGGUCUUUAGAGUCUUUUGUAUUUUUUCUUAAUAAUUGUAUUUCAGGUGGAAAUAUUGGUUUUA